UACGGGGGGGGUAAGCGUUGUUCGGAAUUACUGGGCGUAAAGGGUCUGUAGGGGGCUUGCUAAGUCAGACGUGAAAUCCCUCAGCUUAACUGGGGAACUGCGUCUGAGACUGGCGAGCUUGAGUGCAGGAGAGGAACGCGGAAUUCCAGGUGUAGCGGUGAAAUGCGUAGAUAUCUGGAGGAACACCGGUGGCGAAGGCGGCGUUCUGGACUGCAACUGACACUGAGAGACGAAAGCCAGGGGAGCAAACGGG
rnacentral:rRNA from 1 species